rnacentral:rRNA from 1 species
CGGAGUUACAAAGGACGACAUUAGACGAAUCAUCUGGAAAGAUGAAUCAAAGAAGGUAAUAAUCCUGUAGUCGAAAAUGUUGUCUCUCUUGAGUGGAUCCUGAGUACGACGGAGCACGUGAAAUUCCGUCGGAAUCUGGGAGGACCAUCUCCUAAGGCUAAAUACUCUCUAGUGACCGAUAGUGAACCAGUACCGUGAGGGAAAGGUGAAAAGCACCCCGGAAGGGGAGUGAAAUAGAACCUGAAACCGUGUGCUUACAAGUAGUCAGAGCCCGUUAAUGGGUGAUGGCGUGCCUUUUGUAGAAUGAACCGGCGAGUUACGAUUUGAUGCAAGGUUAAGCAGUAAAUGUGGAGCCGUAGCGAAAGCGAGUCUGAAUAGGGCGUUUAGUAUUUGGUCGUAGACCCGAAACCAGGUGAUCUACCCUUGGUCAGGUUGAAGUUCAGGUAACACUGAAUGGAGGACCGAACCGACUUACGUUGAAAAGUGAGCGGAUGAACUGAGGGUAGCGGAGAAAUUCCAAUCGAACCUGGAGAUAGCUGGUUCUCUCCGAAAUAGCUUUAGGGCUAGCCUCAAGUGAUGAUUAUUGGAGGUAGAGCACUGUUUGGACGAGGGGCCCCUCUCGGGUUACCGAAUUCAGACAAACUCCGAAUGCCAAUUAAUUUAACUUGGGAGUCAGAACAUGGGUGAUAAGGUCCGUGUUCGAAAGGGAAACAGCCCAGACCACCAGCUAAGGUCCCAAAAUAUAUGUUAAGUGGAAAAGGAUGUGGCGUUGCCCAGACAACUAGGAUGUUGGCUUAGAAGCAGCCAUCAUUUAAAGAGUGCGUAAUAGCUCACUAGUCGAGUGACACUGCGCCGAAAAUGUACCGGGGCUAAACAUAUUACCGAAGCUGUGGAUUGUCCUUUGGACAAUGGUAGGAGAGCGUUCUAAGGGCGUUGAAGCAUGAUCGUAAGGACAUGUGGAGCGCUUAGAAGUGAGAAUGCCGGUGUGAGUAGCGAAAGACGGGUGAGAAUCCCGUCCACCGAUUGACUAAGGUUUCCAGAGGAAGGCUCGUCCGCUCUGGGUUAGUCGGGUCCUAAGCUGAGGCCGACAGGCGUAGGCGAUGGAUAACAGGUUGAUAUUCCUGUACCACCUAUAAUCGUUUUAAUCGAUGGGGGGACGCAGUAGGAUAGGCGAAGCGUGCGAUUGGAUUGCACGUCUAAGCAGUAAGGCUGAGUAUUAGGCAAAUCCGGUACUCGUUAAGGCUGAGCUGUGAUGGGGAGAAGACAUUGUGUCUUCGAGUCGUUGAUUUCACACUGCCGAGAAAAGCCUCUAGAUAGAAAAUAGGUGCCCGUACCGCAAACCGACACAGGUAGUCAAGAUGAGAAUUCUAAGGUGAGCGAGCGAACUCUCGUUAAGGAACUCGGCAAAAUGACCCCGUAACUUCGGGAGAAGGGGUGCUCUUUAGGGUUAACGCCCAGAAGAGCCGCAGUGAAUAGGCCCAAGCGACUGUUUAUCAAAAACACAGGUCUCUGCUAAACCGUAAGGUGAUGUAUAGGGGCUGACGCCUGCCCGGUGCUGGAAGGUUAAGAGGAGUGGUUAGCUUCUGCGAAGCUACGAAUCGAAGCCCCAGUAAACGGCGGCCGUAACUAUAACGGUCCUAAGGUAGCGAAAUUCCUUGUCGGGUAAGUUCCGACCCGCACGAAAGGCGUAACGAUUUGGGCACUGUCUCAACGAGAGACUCGGUGAAAUCAUAGUACCUGUGAAGAUGCAGGUUACCCGCGACAGGACGGAAAGACCCCGUGGAGCUUUACUGUAGCCUGAUAUUGAAAUUCGGCACAGCUUGUACAGGAUAGGUAGGAGCCUUUGAAACGUGAGCGCUAGCUUACGUGGAGGCGCUGGUGGGAUACUACCCUAGCUGUGUUGGCUUUCUAACCCGCACCACUUAUCGUGGUGGGAGACAGUGUCAGGCGGGCAGUUUGACUGGGGCGGUCGCCUCCUAAAAGG